rnacentral:rRNA from 1 species
AUUGAACGCUGGCGGCAUGCCUUACACAUGCAAGUCGAGCGGCAGCACGGGAGCAAUCCUGGUGGCGAGUGGCGAACGGGUGAGUAAUGUAUCGGAACGUACCUUUCAGUGGGGGAUAACGUAGCGAAAGGUACGCUAAUACCGCAUAUUCUGUGAGCAGGAAAGCAGGGGAUCGCAAGACCUUGCGCUGAUUGAGCGGCCGAUAUCAGAUUAGCUAGUUGGUGAGGUAAAGGCUCACCAAGGCGACGAUCUGUAGCGGGUCUGAGAGGAUGAUCCGCCACACUGGAACUGAGACACGGUCCAGACUCCUACGGGAGGCAGCAGUGGGGAAUUUUGGACAAUGGGCGCAAGCCUGAUCCAGCCAUGCCGCGUGAGUGAAGAAGGCCUCGGUUGUAAGACGU